AUGGAGGAAAAUAAUGCCCAUGAGACUCCUACAAAUUUGAGUGACCGUGAGAAUCCUGUAAUUGUAGAUGAACAGGGACCUUCUCCUUCUGAUAUCUACGAUCCUAGAAACUGGGACACUCUUGACAAUAAAUCAAGAGAUAUUCUGAUUGAAAAAGGGCCUACAAGGGAAUAUAAUGUUGUGUUUCGAACGGAUAAUAUUGGCAGACAUUUUCCGUAUGUUUACUACUCAAGAAAGCUCAGUAAGAAAUACUGA
rnacentral:rRNA from 1 species